rnacentral:rRNA from 1 species
CACGUAGGGCGCAAGCGUUGUCCGGAAUUAUUGGGCGUAAAGAGCUCGUAGGCGGUCUGUUGCGUCCGCUGUGACAACUCGGGGCUUAACCCCGAGCCUGCAGUGGAUACGGGCAGACUGGAGGUAGGUAGGGGAGAAUGGAAUUCCCGGUGUAGCGGUGAAAUGCGCAGAUAUCGGGAGGAACACCGGUGGCGAAGGCGGUUCUCUGGGCCUUACCUGACGCUGAGGAGCGAAAGCGUGGGGAGCGAACAGG